ACUCCGCCAGGAGUACCAGUGAGAAGUAUGUCACCAGGGAGGAGAGUCAUUACCCUGGAAAAUGGCAGUUUUUAAAUAAAACAUAUAGUACGCCGUUCACGCUGCACUUGAUGUCCAGGUUCUGAGGAUCGCCUAUUUCGUCGCUAGUUACGAUGCAAGGACCAAUCGGGCAGAAAGUAUCCAUCGACUGAAAGCAAUAAAUUAUAAUUAAUACUUCUGCGUUUAUAUUCUUUUUCAUUAAACGAUAUAUUACAUAA